GCGCUGGCAACCAGACUUGCGCGUCGGGGUUCCCCCUUGCUUCUGCCUGGGCUACUCCCCGGCGUUCAGGCCAACAUCGGUUUUGGGGGUCGGUUAAAGGCUCCGGGAAUGUACCUACUCUUCGGGGUAGACUUAUAGCCCGGGGUGUCAUGCGGCCACCCGGGACCGAGGAACGCGCUUCGGCUCGGAUGUUGGCGUAAUGGUUGUCAGCGACCCGUCUUGAAACACGGACCAAGGAGUC
rnacentral:rRNA from 1 species